UCAUGUCGGCGACGUGGUGCUGCCGCAGCUGCCCUACCCCGUCCAAGGAGUCUCCCUCAGCGGCGGCGGCUUCGAAUACAGGGGCGGCAGCGGCGGCGCAGGUGGCGGCGGAGGGCAGAUCUCUGACGUGCUGCUGCCGCGGCCUGGAGGCGGAUACGGGUACGGAAGCGGUGGCGGAGUCGACAAUUUCAUUAACUUCAAGGAUGUGAGUGGAGGCAGCGCGGGCUCUCCACCGCACCAACAUGGAGGUGCUGGAGGUGCUGGAGGUGCUGGAGGUGCUGGUGGUGGAGGAGGUGGUGGUGGAAACGGCGGCGAGGCUGAGGUGCUGCGCACCUACCAGGUGUCGACCAACCUCCGCCGCCAGGAAUCGUUCGACCACCACGCCUUCGGGGUGGAGAAGGGCGUCAAGCCGACCGGCGGCUUCCACUUCGGGUUCGGCGGCGGCGGCAGCGGCAACGGCAACGGCCUGGGCGCCGGCACCAAGUACGAGACGAGCGCCAACGACCUGGACCAGGUGGUCAGCAGCGGAGCGGCCGCAGCCACCGCGGCGGCCAGCCUGCUCGCCUGCGCCGUGGCGCAGCUACUCGCCCUCUGACGACUUCCCUCCCUCUCCCUCUUCCAUCUCCAAAAUACUGAACGAACAAAAGAAUGUUUGAAAAAAAUUAGUUUGACAUAGUGUUAAAAACAGUUAGGCCACAAAGACACCCCAGGUUUCCUACAUCCCAGUUAUCUGUUAUAGAAUUGGUGACAAUCUCACUUGUUAGACCCGUUACACAGGCAAAUUGCUCGUGGACUCUAGUCGUGCAGUCAGCUUAAAUUUUCUUUGCUCUAAUACGCCUCCACGUAUAGAACUUGCACAGUAAACUUAGGCAUAGAAAGAAGACAGUGUUUUGGAAUAUAAUCUCGAGAUACUAUCCAAGGUACAACGCAGAGAAUGCUCACGAGCAAUUCGCCUGAUAGAGGAGUGGCUAAAUUGGAACUCUAAGCAAAUAUAUCAAUUUGUUUUUAGACACAGCUUGUCGGACAGUUGAGAUAUCGCACGAAAUGUAUUGCAAGGAAUCUAUCACUCACGCAAAAGAAAUUAGUCAGUAACUUACAAAUGUGAAUAACUCUGCUGCCAAAAUCCUGUACCUCACUCUUUGACCUUUUACUUCCCUACUCGUGAAAAUUUAGUGACUGAGUGCGUGAACGUGAUCACAAUGCGUAAGAGAAUUUCUAACCAUCAGAUCAACAUUUAUUUCAGUAAUUUGUUAAUUAAGGUGGUUCUUAAUAUCAGAAAGAUGCUGUAACUAGACUUUACGUCUUCUGACUCAAAUUCAUCAAUUGCGCCGACUGCCUCUUAGCAUUUAAAGAACUGUGUGGACAUGAAAUGCACCAUGAUCUUCAACAGCCCUCAUCAACAACAAUUCCUUCUUGAGGUAGUGAACUAAACAAUGUCGAGGAUAAAACGAGUUUCAGUUCGUUUCAGUGUCACGUUGAACUACCAAAAGUACAAAAUUUCGAGAGCUUGAUUUAAGCUUAAUAUCCAGCAGAGCUAAUUUCGACUCACAAUGCGGAACGACAGUAGCGCAAGCGUACUCGGACAAGUACCCAUUCCAGCGGCAACUUUGCCACUCUCGCGAGUUAUGUAUCAGAUACCGAAAUGGAACAACGCCGCAUGUGAAGUUGUAAUUAUAGUGACUUGAUACGAUAUGAAACUUGGUUAUCAAUGAACAGAAAAUCAGACGAUUGUAACGACCACUGGUUACAUACGGUUAUCUAUAAAAUCUUCAUAUUUACAAACCAUAAAAUGUGUUGACAUCUAAUGCAACUUUCUUUGCAGUCGCUAUAGAAGCUUCAGCGAAGUCAGUUAAUACAUAUAGCUCAUUGUUUACCAUUGCUCUCCCGAGAAUGUAUUUGUAAUAUUGUACCCUUUUGCUUCUGUUUACUGGCAAAUUUUUGUUGGACUCGACAAAUCAGCACUUCUUUCACUUUUGGGCGUGUUUUUCCAAACUGACUACUACAAAGGGCGUUAACAACACAGUAACUUUACUCCAAUAAACUUUUCUUAUUCUGAAGAAUAUUCGGUAGGCCUACAGUUUUCCUAUAGCCACUCCUCAUUGUUAUUUGUUUGUUUUUGAUUUUUGUCUAUUUAUUUGUAUAGUUGUUGCUUUUGUAUUUUGUCAGCACGGUGCAAGACAGGUGACUGGUCGACGGCCUUCGUCAUUGACCCGUGAACUGUCUGCCCGUAAUCUGUGUUAUUGCUUUUAUCAUAAAUAAUACACUGCUACCAGUUCUGAAAGUGA